CCUAAAAUUUGAAAUAGGAAAGUUGGCGGGGCUGCGGGAGCUGGGUCUGAAGACCUGCUGUUGGCUUGAAUUGUUUCUGGUCUUGUGUGGGUUGGCGGCGAGGCUCAGGUCUCCUGGAAAAGCAUUCUCUUACAAGAUGAUAGAGGACGAACUGGCACUAUUUGAUAAAAGCAUAAAUGAAUUUUGGAAUAAAUUCAAAAGCACUCUCAGUGACACGUCCUGUCAAAUGAUGGGACUAAGAGAUACCUACAAAGACUCCAUCAAAGCACUUACAGAAAAGCUGUCUGUGAAAUUAAAGGAAGAGGAACGAAUGGUUGAGAUGUUUCUGGAAUAUCAAAAUCAGAUCUGUAGGCGGAAUAAGCUCAUUCAAGAAAAAAAAGACAACUUGUUAAGAUUGAUUGCUGAAAUAAAAGACAAAAAUGAGAAACUAGAAGUACUGACUGCAAAUAUUCAGGAUCUUAAGGAAGAAUAUGCUAGGAAGAAGGAAACUAUUUCUGCUGCUAACAAAGCUAAUGAAGAGAAGUUGAAAAGGCUACAGACAUCUGCAGACUUGUAUAAAGAUCGACUUGGACUUGAAAUUAGAAAAAUUUAUGGUGAUAAGUUGCAGUUUAUAUUUACUAAUAUUGACCCUAAGCAUCCUGAGAACCCUUUUAUGUUUUCCCUCCACCUAAAUGAAGCAAGGGAAUAUGAGGAAGGAGAAGUAGUCGCUGAAGAAAUCUGACCAGCAAACUGAAAAGGAAGCACCCGUUAACCAAGAGCAAAGACAUGGUGUCCCUGUUGUAUGGCUGCAAAAUCCAUCACGACUUCCUGUUGGCUCUGGACGCCAUGUCCUGCUUGCAGCAGGGGGAUUCCUAACCCUAACAUUCUUGCCAAGGGACCACAACACCUCCGGUUGGACUGAACUGAACUGAACACCUCUGAUCGACUGCAUUGUGGGACAGGCUUACCUAAGAUGAAACCAAAACCCACCACAUAUCUUCUACCAUUAGACCUAGCCUGCAUCUGAGAGCAUCAUAGGACAAAUCUCCUUCCUCUCCUAUGUGGUGCUCUUUCCAGUGUCUGAAGAUAGUAUCUAUUCUAAAUAUAUUCAGUUUCCACAACACUUUCUCCUAGAACAUGUGUUAUCAACAUUCUUCUUCUUUCAAAUAUGGCACUUGAAGGACAAAGAGGCAAUGAAUUAGGAAGAAUUUAAAUGAAACAGAGUUUCCUCCUGCAAGAAACCUUCCCUGGGUAGACUUCGUGUUAUCCAUCGGAUGCAGGGGUGUGUAGCCAAGUUACACGGAUAUUUGCCAUUCGCUGCUCAAAGGUUCAUGUUUACUCCAUCAUAAGCACCAUUAAUUCAGGAGCCAGACCCUCCCGGACCUUAUACCCUCCACUAUGUGGAUCAGGCCAGCAUGUACCCAGAUGAUCCCAAUACAUGUUCUGUGCUGGUAAUGAUGAUGACAAAAUUCUAUGCAAGAACAACCAAAGAAAUAAACUUACAACUUAACACCAUCAAAAAAUGCUCCAUAUGACUAUUUUGGUAAAUACUACUUGCAUGGAGUUAGAAAACCAAACAUUUUGCACUAUCACAGAAAAUGUUCUACAGACUGCUUUAUAAUUUCAUAAAAACUAUAGCCAUGUGUCACUGCAAAUAUGUUAGAGCUCUGUUCCCAAGUGAACAGAAUUCAGGCCUUUCUUUCCCUAAGAGUGUUAGGUUUGUUUUUCCAACAGCACCUCCUCUAAAGGAAGCCUCUGCUAAAUAAUCGAUUAAACUGUACCUGGCUAUAUCUGUCUCCUUUCACCAAAGAACUACUGAAAUUACCUGUUUGGACAGAAUUAUUAGGUACCUGCUUUCACAAGACAGUUAGGCUAGGUACAAGGUAAGGACAGCUGGCCCAGCUUCCUAUAUCCUACAAAACAUUGCUAAAGAUUUUAUCGCUUCCUGAAUUCUUCUCAUAUUAACCCCCGUCAACUUCCUAUUUCUGUAAUCAUAGCAGAAAACCUGCAUCUAGCACACAUAGUUCAUAGCAUCUGUUUGCCUUUAUUCCUGUAUAGAAUUCACAGCACUUUGCUAACCUCUCUUUCACCUGGGCUCCUCUGAAGCGGCUGCAUUGUCCAUCACUCCCACAAAUGCCUGGGGGCUGCUGAGGUCCAGGCUCUCAGCAAAAAGGCCCAGAGUUGCCUCUCUCCCUGCCCUCUCCUGACAGCACCUCCCCUCCCCUCAGACAACCUCAGCCUCUGAAGUUUUUUCCCUUUUUCUCAGGAGCUUUUGCCACACACACCCAGACUACCCCCUCACUCUGUGCCUCACAUCUUUCCGCUCCCCUGUUAUUUUCAGAAGACCGUGAUGUUCGCUGAGGGAUCAGUGGAAAGUGGAAUCUUCAUAGUUACCAGGUUUUCAGCUCUCCUCUGUGCACUGUGCUGACAUUUUCUAACCAACACUAUAUCCUCACAAUAACCUUCUGAAGUAGGGACCAAUAUCCCCAUUUUACAGAUGAGAAAACUAAAGUCGUCCCAAGUCACUGUAAAUGACAGGGCUGGAUCCAGAUCCAGACCUUUCUGAAUGCAGGCCCUGGUUGUGGGUUUGUGUGUGUGUGUUUAAUCACUUUUCCUAACUGGGUUAAAGUACACGUGGUUUCCAGACCUUGAUGGAAUUAUUCUAUUUUGGGGAAUUCUAUUUUAGGCACAAUUCUUUUCCAGGAAGGACACUAAAGCAAACAUUUCUAAGUUGAAUUUUUCCGGAUCCCUCAAACUGUUCAUCAAGGAGGUGACUAUAGGAGCUCUCUUCCUAGAAUGUUGUAUGUCAUGAGAAAAGAGAGGCAAAGAGAGGUCAAAUGGGCCCCGAAAACAAGCAUCCUAAAAAUAACUCUUUCAUCAUUAAACCUAGGAAGGUGGAAU